CGAAUAUACAAUAAACUUUUUAUAAUAAAAAUAUGUAUGAUAUGAAACGAUAUCAUCUUAUUUUUUCAUUUUUUACAUACUCAUUAUACAUGUAAAUACAAAGUGUUUCAAUUUGAUAAAUUCCUUUGAAUAUUGAUAAUACAAAAAAUGUUCGGAAAAAAGUUGAAUGGUUUCAAGGUCAUAUAAUGUUACAUAAGUAGUAUUUUUGUUGUAUAUUUUUGGCAGUAAUACAUAAAUAUUAUAAUUAUACGUCUAAAGCAUUGUCCGUACUUCAAAAAUAUUCACUAAUACUUUUCAAAUAGCAAAACACGAUUAUGUUUAAAUCUAACGUGAUAUUAUUAAAAUUUCAAAACUAACUCAAAGGAGGCAUAGAUUCCUGUUGCUCAAAUUUUAUAUAUAUCAUUUUCUCCUGAAAUAUCACAAUUUAGAGAAGAUUUGAUGGUAAACCCAUAGACCAUGCAUCUAACAGUUUUUUAUCAUGAGGACCAGCUCCUAAACUAAGCAUGAGACCAGAAAGAUCUCCACGAUGACCUCUGCCUCGCAUCGCAUGAACAACCCUGGCUAUACUGUAAUAAAUUCAAAUUUAUAUAUAAAAGAGAGAAAAGUUUAUAUUUAGUUUAUAUAUACUUAAUAAUUUGUGUUUUCUUACUUUGCCCAUUCUUUCUGUAAAGCAAUAAAGUGUGCCUUAAGAACAGAA